rnacentral:misc_RNA from 1 species
UCCAGGAUCUUUCAACUUUGGAGAUAGCUUAUUUUGCAAGAUAGCGCUACAUUCCUCUGUUAAAGCAAAUGUUUCAUAGUCUUCCAGCCUUCUUUUCUUGGAAAGAAUUUCUUUUAAAAAUUUUGCAUAGGAUGGCAUUUGAGAUAGUGCUUCUAUAAAAGCAAUGUUUAUGUAAAGUUUCUGUAAAACUUCUAAAAAAUUUUCAAAUUGCUUGUCCAAUUUGGCUUUUUGGAACCUUUGAGGAAAAGGUAGAGGGAGUUGGUAAGGUUUUGAUAAUUUCUUUUUCUUUCCUUUCUCCUCUUCCUUGACUUCUUCAGCUUGCUUUUCUUCCUCCUCUUCUUAGCUGUCAGAAUUUUCAAAAGUUUUUCCCUUCUACUUUUG